GAGUGCUCGCCGACCUGCACGACACGUGUGCCACGUGUUCGCCGCAUCACCCCUCCCCUCCUCCGAAAAAAAAAAUAGCAAAGGUCCCUCAGACACACAACUUGCGUGCGCUGCCAAUCUCUUUCUUUGUUGCAUCCUUUCACUCCUUCCGCCUUGUGGCUCCGUCGGGUUGUCGCCGCAUACCGCGCGCGCCACCUUCGUCCUAUUCCUCUUCUUCCUCUGCCCAGACGCCGGCGCAGAGCCGCAGCGACAGGCGCCCCCAUUCUUCUAUCCUGCGCUUUUCUGCCCGCUCUCCAUUUCGCUUUGGGCGCUGUGGGCGUUGCUCCCCCUCUCCUUCCGUCUAUACGCGCGCGGCAAGAUUAGGGAAUCCCUUGCACUGCUGCACGCCGCGUACCCGCGGAGCGUACCUCCUCGCAGGUGGUUUAGACUCAUUCCGGCAGCCAAGAGCUCGACCUCGAUGAGCCAUCCAUACGCUACGAACGAGCCGCUACACGGCGCCGGCGACGACGCCGAGCACGUUGGGUCAAGUGUCGCCUCACCGUCGCCGGGCGCUGCACCACCCGUUGCCGCAACGACGCCUUCACCGGAAGAGCACGCUGACGGAAACGACAGCGCACAUCCCGCCGCCAUUUCAUGCACGGUGGAGAAAAAAACGCUCUACGGCAACAAUGAGGUGAUACACGGCAGCGAUCAGGACGACAUAGCCACUGCCGUCUCGCACUCACCUGAUGUGUCGUCACCAUCUUCCUCGUCCUGCUCUGCCGCCUCGUCGAUGCCACCGUCGUGGUUGCCCUCCCGCUCCUCCUCAUGCUCCUCGGCGACAUCCUCCUCGUUCAUCUCCGCCUCUGAUUGCUCAUCGCGCUCAUCCGGCAACGCGGACCUUGCCGCUGAUGGCGCCCGUGCUCCGGAAUCGGGCCACAAUCAUCACCUCCGUCAAGAGCACCGCCACCGCCGUCAUCACCGCCACAAUCCUCCACGUCACUGCUCAGAUGAUAGACACGUCACGCAUGGUGAGAUCGACAGACGUUCCGGUACAACAGCGGCGCGGCGCGUGCAGACGUCUGAGCACACGCGCUUUACCAGCGUUCUUGCCGGUGGUAGGCGGUUUGGCGACAGUGACGGGCCCGGCGCCGCUCCUGCGGUUUCCUGUGGUCGCAUCGACGGGAAUGUCGAUGGUGGCUCGCCUCGCACACAGGACGUUGCGUGGUGGCGCUCCUGUGCGGCUGCCGCCAAAGCCACAGUGGGGACCGUUCCCACCGCUACAUGCGACGUGCAUCCUUACUGCUGCGCACCACAGAGCCCUCAGCUCUCGCUGCAACGCCAACAACCCGCUGCUGGGGUUGAUCCGGCUUGCCGGGAUCUGGCAGCGACACCGCAGGCUGCAGCAACUCAGCGACUCUCGACCAUCUCGCCUUUCAUGGCCACUGUCUCGGGCACGCUUAUCGCAUCUCCGACACCACUCCCACCCCCUCACCCGCGCCGAUCGUCGUCGGCGCAGAACCUUGAUUCUAACGUCCUCAUCACGCACACCACUGGUGGUGUCCCGCGCUCCUCGAAGUCGCUUUUCAAAGGCAAAGGCAGCGGCGGCAGCGGCGGCCUCUUAGCCCUCACCACUAUGGAUGGGAGCGUACAGCUGCAGCCGUCGCGCAGCGUCGGCUGUGCCACGAGGCAUGUACAGUGUGGCACGCUGCGCCGCUCCUUCUCCUUCACUUCUGGGGUCCCGCCUGUGUCAGCUUCCGGCUACGAAGCGCCUCCGUUUUCUGCCAGUCGUGCUGCGUCUCCUAUCACCGCUGCUAACGCAGCAAUCGGUGCGCCGCGCACCUCGCUCACCGGCGAGCGCCAGCAUGAGCGAACUGCCUCCAUCGCCUCCUCGGUGCACUCUGCUUCGUCAUCGGUGCGCCCAUCGGUUCCCUUGCCGCCAUCGCACGUUGGGAUCGCCUCGAAUAUGAUGGCGGCCGUAUGGGUGGACUUGCCCCUGUCUCAGUCGGGCAGCCGGAGUGCCACGCCGCUGAACAACAGUGAUGCGUAUGCGCCGCCGCGUAGGCGGCGCACGACGCCGCGCCGCUGCUCCGGGCCCCCAAGCCCGGCAACAAGCACGCUGGCGGCCUCGGUCGCGUCCUCGUUCGACGGCGCCGGCUACAUGUCCUCGGCUACCGGCGGCGCACCCGUCAGUGCUCGUCGCCUACUGGUGACGGUCAGCACACAGACGGACAACGACCCAACCACUGCCGAGGUCUGCACGACACCGGUCUCCCUUCCUCGCCGCCUCUACUGCAACUCCUCAUCAAAUUCCCCUUAUGCCGCGAAGGUCGGCGGCGGCGAGCGGUGCGGCGACGCUGCACACCAGUAUAACCUGAAUGGCCCUUUCGAGAGCGAGGGCGCGGCUUUGACGACGGCGGCGUCGGUCUCGUCGACCUCAGCGGAGGUGUCGCCGCGCUCCUUGCUCGCGAGCGUAGCCGAGAUACGCCUCGACGACCACGCAGCCCAAACGGCACUUGACGGUGACGCUGCACGACGCGUGCGGCAGAACACCGCAGGGGAUGACAUGCCUGCGGCACCGCCGAGCGCGCCAACAUCUCUGUCCACCGACGUGACCACAAAAGUAGAUAAUCUGAGUGAAGGCGACAGGCCGUCAAGUGCUUCGGCGGAGCCUCCGGGCGCAAUAUACGCGUAUGAAACCUUGCGCGUGGAUGUGCCGCCCCGAAAAGGGGGCACCAAAGCCGCCGCCGCCGCCGCUGUGAACACUUCAGCGGCGACUGAGGCGGAGAUGGACUCGACAGCGGGAGCUCUCGCGCCCCCCGCGACGUUCCCGUUGCCCACGUCGCUCGUGACACAGUCGAGAAGUGUUGUGUCACCAGCGCUCGCGCGGUCCGAGGCGGGCGCACCGCCAGCAGGGGGCAUCCCUCCGCCCACCACUACAGCGGUUAUAUCCGACGAGGCAGGUGCACACAGUACACUGAAGGCAGCCGGAGAAGAAGGUCGUCGUGGCGCCGAGAGAGGCACGACGUCGGUAGGCUUCGGGGCAACCGCAUCUCUGGAGGAAGCCGGUGACUCCUCAGACCCGCAGCCUCUGGCACCCUCACGGAACGACGAAGUUUGGCGGCUUCGCGCAGAACUCGCCGAAAUGCGCCACCAGUACGCGCAGGUUGUGCAGCAACUUCGCCAAAUGCAAGAGUCCGCUGUGGCGGCUGGUCCUGCUGUUGGAUCGACGCAGCCCUCUCACGCCGCAGCGGCGCUGAAUGCAGGACACCGAGCGGCGACGGAGGCAGUGCUCAUCACAACGUCGCCCUCUCUUCCAGCCGCAUCCCCUCCCUCGUCUUUGCGUACAGUCGCCAUAAGAAACCACUCCGGCGCGCCUGAAAAUCCCUUGGUCGAGUCGGCUUCAUCCGUCUCAUCCAACAGCGAUGACAGCGGGGAAGAUGCCACGACGACGCUAGACCGUGUGCGAGCUGCCCUGCAGCGGGCUCGACAACGUGCGACGAACUAAGGUGCGAGGAUGGAAUUCAGCAGAGAGGCGCCUGCCCCUGAACGCCCCCCACCCUCACAGCGGCUGCUCACUUCACUGAGAGAACGCACACCUGAAGAGAGAUUGGUCACCCUUUCCUGCUUCCCUUCCUCCGUCUCUCUCUCUCUCUUUAUGUGCUACUGUUGCGGUGACGCGUCGCUCUUUGUGUGUUUGCGUUUUCCCCUUUCUGAUAUGCGUGUGUACGCACCUUCGUGUGCGCGUCUCACGGGUGGUCGUGCUUCUCAAUGCGUUUCGCUCACCCUUUUAGCACCCGCCUACUGUCUAUCUCGCUCCCGCAUCGUCCCCCUGCCCUUCUUCUCCGUCUCUCCUCCUCUCACCUCCCUUCCUCCCCCUCUGCCGCGAGUGCGCUGUUAUGUUGCUGCUCUUGGUUUACUCGGUCUGUCUCUCUCUGUGAGUGUGUGCCCGCCUCUAUGAGGCAUGUAUGUGUG
rnacentral:misc_RNA from 1 species